CGGGUGAGUAACGCGUGAGCAACCUGCCUAUGACAGUGGGAUAGCCUCGGGAAACCGGGAUUAAUACCGCAUAAAAUCGUAGAAACACAUGUUCUAACGGUCAAAGAUUUAUCGGUCAUAGAUGGGCUCGCGUCUGAUUAGCUAGUUGGUGAGAUAACAGCCCACCAAGGCGACGAUCAGUAGCCGGUCUGAGAGGAUGAACGGCCACAUUGGAACUGAGACACGGUCCAA
rnacentral:rRNA from 1 species